UUCGUGCUUGAGUGGUAAGAACAACUGUCUCUCACUCAGGAGUCCCGGGUUCGAUCCCCGGUUGAGAAG